rnacentral:rRNA from 1 species
AUUGAACGCUGGCGGCAUGCUUUACACAUGCAAGUCGAACGGUAACGCGGGGGCAACCCUGGCGACGAGUGGCGAACGGGUGAGUAAUAUAUCGGAACGUGCCCAGUCGUGGGGGAUAACGCAGCGAAAGCUGUGCUAAUACCGCAUACGAUCUAAGGAUGAAAGCGGGGGAUCGCAAGACCUCGCGCGAUUGGAGCGGCCGAUAUCAGAUUAGCUAGUUGGUGGGGUAAAGGCCCACCAAGGCGACGAUCUGUAGCUGAUCUGAGAGGACGACCAGCCAGACUGGAACUGAGACACGGUCCAGACUCCUACGGGAGGCAGCAGUGGGGAAUUUUGGACAAUGGGCGCAAGCCUGAUCCAGCAAUGCCGCGUGCAGGAUGAAGGCCUUCGGGUUGUAAACUGCUUUUGUACGGAACGAAACGGCCCUUUCUAAUACAAGGGGCUAAUGACGGUACCGUAAGAAUAAGCACCGGCUAACUACGUGCCAGCCGCCGCCGUAAGAC